rnacentral:rRNA from 1 species
UACGGGGGGAGCAAGCGUUGUUCGGAUUUAUUGGGCGUAAAGGGCGCGUAGGCGGUCAGCACAAGUCAGUUGUGAAAUCUCCGGGCUUAACUCGGAAAGGUCAACUGAUACUGUGCGACUAGAGUGCAGAAGGGGCAACUGGAAUUCUCGGUGUAGCGGUGAAAUGCGUAGAUAUCGAGAGGAACACCUGCGGCGAAGGCGGGUUGCUGGGCUGACACUGACGCUGAUGCGCGAAAGCCAGGGGAGCGAACGGG